UACGAAGGGGGCUAGCGUUGCUCGGAAUCACUGGGCGUAAAGGGCGCGUAGGCGGAUCUUUAAGUCGGGGGUGAAAUCCUGGAGCUCAACUCCAGAACUGCCUUCGAUACUGGCGAUCUAGAGUCCGGAAGAGGUGAGUGGAACUCCUAGUGUAGAGGUGGAAUUCGUAGAUAUUAGGAAGAACACCAGUGGCGAAGGCGGCUCACUGGUCCGGUACUGACGCUGAGGUGCGAAAGCGUGGGGAGCAAACAGG
rnacentral:rRNA from 1 species